AUUGAACGCUGGCGGCAUGCCUUACACAUGCAAGUCGAACGGCAGCACGGGGCAACCUGGUGGCGAGUGGCGAACGGGUGAGUAAUGCUUCGGAACGUACCUUUCAGUGGGGGAUAACGUAGCGAAAGUUACGCUAAUACCGCAUAUUCUGUGAGCAGGAAAGCAGGGGAUCGCAAGACCUUGCGCUGAUUGAGCGGCCGAUGUCAGAUUAGCUAGUUGGUGAGGUAAAGGCUCACCAAGGCGACGAUCUGUAGCGGGUCUGAGAGGAUGAUCCGCCACACUGGAACUGAGACACGGUCCAGACUCCUACGGGAGGCAGCAGUGGGGAAUUUUGGACAAUGGGGGCAACCCUGGUCCAGCCAUGCCGCGUGAGUGAAGAAGGCCUUCGGGUUGUAAAGCUCUUUCGGCCGGGAAGAAAUCGCACAGGCUAAUACCUUGUGUGGAUGACGGUACCGGAAUAAGAAGCACCGGCUAACUACGUGCCAGCCGCCGCCGUAACAC
rnacentral:rRNA from 1 species